rnacentral:miRNA from 1 species
UGAGUGAUUGAUAGCUAUGUUC